AUGAUCAGCCACACUGGAACUGAGACACGGUCCAGACUCCUACGGGAGGCAGCAGUGGGGAAUAUUGGAAAUGGGCGCAAGCCUGAUCCAGCUAUGCCGCGUGAGUGAGGAAGGCCUUAGGGUUGUAAAACUCUUUCAGUAGGGAAGAUAAUGACGGUACCUACAGAAGAAGUCCCGGCAAACUCCGUGCCAGCAGCCGCGGUAAUACGGAGGGGGCAAGCGUUGUUCGGAAUUAUUGGGCGUAAAGGGCAUGUAGGCGGUUCGGUAAGUUAAAGGUGAAAUGCCAGGGCUUAACCCUGGAGCUGCUUUUAAUACUGCCAGACUAGAGUCCGGGAGAGGAUAGCGGAAUUCCUAGUGUAGAGGUGAAAUUCGUAGAUAUUAGGAGGAA
rnacentral:rRNA from 1 species